UUUUUUCCUGUAGCAAUACAGGGAAAAGUCUAGCGGCGAACGGGUGCUUAACACGUGGGCAACCUGCCGAAAAGUGGGGGAUAGCUCGCCGAAAGGCGAAUUAAUACCGCAUGUGAUUAGAGAGGACAUCCUUUCAAAUUAAAGUCGGGGCAACCUGACGCUUUUUGUGGGGCCCGCGGCCUAUCAGCUAGUUGGUGAGGUAACGGCUCACCAAGGCUUUGACGGGUAGCUGGUCUGAGAGGACGACCAGCCACACUGGGACUGAGACACGGCCCAGACACCUACGGGUGGCAGCAGUCGAGAAUUUUUCUCAAUGGGGGAAACCCUGAAGGAGCGACGCCGCGUGGAGGAUGAAGGUCUUCGGAUUGUAAACUUCUGUCAUUGGGGAACAAGGUGCAUACGUUAACUGCGUGUGCAUUGAUAGUACCCGAAGAGGAAGAGACGGCUAACUCUGUGCCAGCAGCCGCGGUAAUACAGAGGUCUCAAGCGUUGUUCGGAUUCAUUGGGCGUAAAGGGUGCGUAGGCGGCGCGGUAAGUCGGGUGUGAAAUCUUGGAGCUUAACUCCGAAACUGCAUUCGAUACUGCCGUGCUUGAGGACUGGAGAGGAGACUGGAAUUUACGGUGUAGCGGUGAAAUGCGUAGAUAUCGUAAGGAAGACCAGUGGCGAAGGCGGGUCUCUGGACAGUUCCUGACGCUGAGGCACGAAGGCCAGGGGAGCAAACGGGAUUAGAUACCCCGGUAGUCCUGGCAGUAAACGGUGCACGUUUGGUGUGGGAGGAUUCGACCCCUUCUGCGCCGGAGCUAACGCGUUAAACGUG
rnacentral:rRNA from 1 species